rnacentral:rRNA from 1 species
GUCAUAUGCUUGUCUCAAAGAUUAAGCCAUGCAUGUCUCAGUACAAGCCAAAUUAAGGUGAAACCGCGAAAGGCUCAUUAAAUCAGUUAUGGUUCCUUAGAUCGUACCCACAAUUACUUGGAUAACUGUGGUAAUUCUAGAGCUAAUACAUGCAAACAGAGCUCCGACCGGAGACGGAAGGAGUGCUUUUAUUAGAUCAAAACCAAUCGGUGGCGGGUUCGCUCGUCAUCGUACAACUUGGUGACUCUGAAUAACUUUACGCUGAUCGCACGGUCAUCGCACCGGCGACGCAUCUUUCAAAUGUCUGCCUUAUCAACUGUCGAUGGUAGGUUCUGCGCCUACCAUGGUUGUAACGGGUAACGGGGAAUCAGGGUUCGAUUCCGGAGAGGGAGCCUGAGAAACGGCUACCACAUCCAAGGAAGGCAGCAGGCGCGCAAAUUACCCACUCCCGGCACGGGGAGGUA